CUUGCGCUGGGAGAAAACGGGAAACGCCCCACCGUAAAGACAACAUUUUCGAGUUCACUGAAAGACCUUAGUGCUGAGUCACCUACAACUGGCCAUUGCCCUCACCCUUGAAUGAAUUUCAAAACAUGACACUGACGGGAGGCUAACUUUCCAAGUUCAAGCCCCAG
rnacentral:lncRNA from 1 species